rnacentral:rRNA from 1 species
UACGUAGGGAGCAAGCGUUGUCCGGAAUCAUUGGGCGUAAAGAGCGCGUAGGUGGCUGCAUAAGUCCGUUGUGAAAGUCAAAGGCUCAACCUUUGAAAGCCGAUGGAUACUGUGGAGCUAGAGUACGGAAGAGGCGAGUGGAAUUCCUAGUGUAGCGGUGAAAUGCAUAGAUAUUAGGAGGAACACCAGUGGCGAAGGCGAGUCUCUGGCACGCAUCUGACGCUGAAACACGAAAGCCAGGGGAGCGAACGGG